rnacentral:rRNA from 1 species
UACGUAGGGCGCAAGCGUUGUCCGGAUUUAUUGGGCGUAAAGAGCUCGUAGGCGGUUUGUCGCGUCUUCCGUGAAAACUGGGGGCUUAACUUCCAGCUUGCGGUGGAUACGGGCUGACUGGAGUGCGGCAGGGGAGACUGGAAUUCCUGGUGUAGCGGUGAAAUGCGCAGAUAUCGGGAAGAACACCCGUGGCGAAGGCGGCUCUCUGGGACGGUACUGACGCUGAGACGCGAAAGCGUGGGGAGCGAACAGG